rnacentral:lncRNA from 10 species
GCCAGGCGUGGUGGCAACAUGCCUAUCAUCCAGCUACUGAAGAGGCUGAGGUGGAAAGAUCACUUGAGCUGGGGAGUUGGAGGCUGCAGUGAGCCGUGAUCAAGCCACUGAACUCCACGCUGAGCGACAGUUUUCUAGAAUUUUCGUUGAGGAUUUUUGUAUCCAUCUUUUUUAUUAUUGUUGUUGAGACAAGGUCUCACUCUGUCGCUCAGCAUGGAGUUCAGUGGCUUGAUCACGGCUCACUGCAGCCUCCAACUCCCCAGCUCAAGUGAUCUUUCCAC